rnacentral:tRNA from 1 species
CAAGUCUUAGAAAGUCUAUAUAUUAUUUACGUUAAUAUUUUGUCUGUGCAAUUCAGUCUGAUUUGA